AGAGGCUUAGGUUAACCCAAACCAAGGGCCUUCAAAGCCCUAAACAAGAGCUCACCCUCUUAGCCUCUG
rnacentral:tRNA from 1 species